rnacentral:siRNA from 1 species
GAGUUGAUGCAAUGGAUAUGAAUA